rnacentral:misc_RNA from 1 species
GUAUUGAUUCGCGCGUGAUCGCGCAAAGAACAUUCUACACUAGGGUGUUUGAUGUUUAAAAACGUGAGCACCCCCCUCCGAGGAAGGGGGGACGCACGCGGUGAUGCACAAAGGGGUGAGAUGGAUAUUUGUAUGUGAGAGCGCUCGGGCGUGCACGACAAAAAAGUCAGCGACAGCCCUUGCACCUCAGUUUUACGAUAAUGAUCCUUCCGCAGGUUCACCUACGGAAA